UACUGUGAUAGAGUGACUGAGAAGGGAUGGGUUGCUACUUUAAGUAGGAUGGUCCAGGAAGGUCUCUCUCGGGGGUUCCUGAUCGGGGAGAAGAAGCCAGCCAUGGCAAGUACUAGGGGAAGAGCUCUCUGGACAAACGGUGCAGCGAGUGCAGCUACCCUAAGACAGGUACUGGUGAAGUGAAUUCUAAGAAAAAAAAGAAAGGCCGUAUGGCUGGGGAAGACAGUGAGCACAAGCAGGUAGAAAUGAGGUGGGUGAGGUAGGUAGGGUCACAAUGCUGCAUGGCCUUGUAGGCUGUGCUGAGCUUUCUCUAGCUGUUGUGUAGAAAUUGGGAGAAAAACGAAACCAUGAGGACCAAUUAGGAGACUACUACACUAAAUAUGCAACAAAUAUUUACUUAUUGAGCAUUUACUAUGUGCCAGAACUAUGCUAGAGGCUAAGGAUAUAAUGGUGAAUAAGAUGUGGGUUCCUAUCCUCAGGAUACUGAUGAUUGCGGGGGGCAACACAGAUAAAUACACUGGCAGUUGCAGAGCAGAGUGGGUAAAAUAAUAAGAAUAAGAUUAAGUACAAGGACCUCAGGAGUUAGCCAGGUAAAGGGCUGGAGAAGCGCAUCCCAGACACAUGAGAGGUUGUAGAGCGAAGAGAGAACUUGGUUGUUUGAGGACCUACCUGUAGUUCAGAGGACCUACCUAUCUUAGGGGUUUAUAUCCUGUUAAAAAAGAGAUUGGUCUAAGUUUAUUUUAUUCUUUUUUUUUUUUUUUUUUUUUUUGAGACAGAGUUUCGCUCUUGUCACCCAGGGUGGAGUGCAGUGGUGUGAUCUCGGCUCCUUGCAACCUCCUCCGCCUCCUGGGUUCAAGUGAUUCUCCUGCCUCAGUCUCCCAAAUAGCUGGGAUUACAGGCACCCACCACCACGCCCAGCUAAUUUUUGUAUUUUUAGUAGAGACAGGGUUUUGCCAUGUUGGCCAGGCUGGUCUCAAACUCCUGAUCUCAGGUGAUCUGCCUGCCUCAGCCUCCCAAAGUGCUGGGAUUACAGGCGUGAGCCACUGCACCUGGCCAUCUACCGUGCUUGGCCUAUUUUAUUCUUAUAAGCCUCUUAAGUUUGCAUAGGAAAGGCAUUCAAAGGUUUUUCAGCAGUGGAAUGACAUGGUUCAUGGUUGGGCCUGCCCAACUCUCACCUGCCUUUCUCCCUACUCUCAAGUCAGUCUUAACAAUCAACUGCUGAGCUGAAACUUUGAAUCUGAUAUUAUACUCAGUGUUGAUAAAGAAGAGAGCAUAUUGGUCCUACUGAGUAGCUAGGACUACAGGUGUGCACCACCAUGUCCGGCUAAUUUUUGUAUUUUUAGUAGAGACAGGGUUUCACCAUGUUGGCCAAACUGGUCUCGAACUCCUGACCUCAAAUGAUCCACCUGCCUUGGCCUUCCAGAGUGCUGGGAUUUCCGGUGUGAGCUACCAUGCCCACUUCCUACCUAGGUGAAAAGGAACAAAGGAGGGAAAAAUCAAGAUGUUUUUAGUCUCUGAGUAUCGGAAAAGGACUACCCGAAAAACUGCCUGAGACCACUUACAUCCUAUCAUCAGUGAGGCCACAGCCCAGAGGUAGAGUGUAGUAAAGAGACUUGAGGCCUACUUUAAGUUUUUUUUUUUUUUUUUGAGAUGGAGUCUCGCUCUGUCACCCAGGCUGGAGUGCAAUGGCACAAUCUCGGCUCACUGCUAGCUCUGCCUCCUGGGUUCAUGCCAUUCUCCUGCCUCAGCCUCUCAAUUAGCUAGGACUACAGGCGCCUGCCACCAUGCCCAGCUAAUUUUUGUAUUUUUAGUAGAGACGGGGUUUCACCGUGUUAGCCAGGAUGGUCUCCAUCUCCUGAUCUUGUGAUCUGCCCGCCUCAGCCUCCCAAAGUGCUGGGAUUACAGGCGUGAGCCACUGCGCCCGGCCUACAUUUUUUAAAUGAACUUUUGGAAAAUCUAAUUUUUCAAAGCUUGGGACCAGUCAGUUGAUUGUGUGAUCCAAUAAGCUGACUCACUAGGCUUGUCCCUAAGCUCUGGGGAGGAUGUGUAUAAAAUGGAUACCUUAUCAGCAUGGUUGGUCUGCAUUUCUUGGGACAGCAGUUCACUACCUGUGCCAAGCUCACUAGGGCACUUAUGACUCUAAAAUACCUUUUUUCUUUUUUUUGAGAUGGGGUCUCACUCUGUCCCCGAGGCUGGAGUGCAGUGGUGCGAUCUUGGCUCAUGGCAACCUUGACCUCCUGGGCUCAAGUGAUCCUCCCAGCUCAGCCCCUCUGAACAGCUACAACUAUAAGCACCCACCACCAUGCCCAGCUAAUUUAUGUAUUUUUUGUAGAGACCAGGUUUUGCCAGGUUGCCCAGGCUGGUCUCAAACUCCUGGGCUCAAGCGAUCCUCCCACCUCAGACUCUUGAAGUGCUGGGAUUAUAGGUGUGAGCCACUGCACCCAUCUUGAGAUACUUCUUUUGACAGGACAGGCUGAUCCUACUUCUGUUCACAUUGCAUUUACUUACUGGGAACUUAGAAUCGCAGGAAUAAGAAAUAAUGAUAGCCAACAUCUAUAUGUGUUUGGUUAUUUAAUUCUCACAACAGUCCUGUGAUGCUGGUACUGUUAUUCCCAUUUUACAGCUGAGAAAAUAAAAGCACAAGGAGGGGGCCGGGCACAGUGGCUCAUGCUUGUAAUCCCAGCACUUUGGGAGGCUGAGGCGGGCAGAUCAUGAGGUCAGGAGAUCGAGACCAUCCUGGCUAACAUGGUGAAACCCCGUCUCUACUAAAAUACAAAAAAUUAGCCGGGCGUGUUGGCAGGCGCCUGUAGUCCCAGCUACUGGUAGUCCCAGCUACUCAGGAGGCUGAGGCACGGGAAUGGUGUGAACCUGGGAGGCGGAGCUUGCAGUGAGCUGAGAUUGCGCCACUGCACACCAGCCUUGGGUGACAGAGCCAGACUCCGUCUCAAAAAAAAAAAAUAAUAAUAAAAAAUAAAAAAUAAAAGCACAAGGAGGUUAAGUCACUUGCAAGGUUACUGGGGAUUUGAAUUCAGGCAGUCUGACUCAAGAGCCCAAUUUUUUUUUUUUUUUUGAGAUGGAGUCCUGCUGUGUUAUUUAGGCUGGAGUGCAGUGGUGUGAUCUCAGCUCACUGCAACCUCUGCCUCCCAGGUUCAAGCAAUUCUCCUGCGUCAGCCUACCGAGUAGCUAGGAUUACAGGUGUGCACCACCAUGUCCGGCUAAUUUUUGUAUUUUUAGUAGAGACGGGGUUUCCCCAUGUUGGCCAGGCUGGUCUCGAACUUCUGACCUCAAGUGGUCCGCCUGCCUUGGCCUCCCAGAGUGCUGGGAUUUCAGGUAUGAGCUACUGUGCCCAGCUGAGAGCCUAAAUGUUUUAAGCAUUAUAUCAGAGGUGUGACUUACUUAGGGAUUUAAAGACAAAGAUUUAAUCAUAAACCCCCAAAAUUGGCAAAUUCUGGCCCCUAGUUCUGUAAAAUUUGGUUUACUUAUACUGACUUCAAUGAUUAUACAGUGGUUUCAGUGUCCUACAAAAUAAACUUACAACUCAUUAAAACAUAAUUUCUCUGUAUCAUGUUGACCUAAGUUAAUGAAUUUAUUCUAAAACUAUUUUAUUUUAAAUAUCUAUGAUAAAAUUUAAAUUAAGCAAUUGUGCUUUCUUUCUGAAAGUUUAUCAAGUGUUUUUUUUUUUUUUUUUUUUGGCGGGGGAAGGGAAAUGAUCCAACCUUCUAAAAAACAGCCUAAAGGAAACUUAAGUUGGAGUCUUUUCCUCUUGAUAAAUUUCCCUGUUAUAAGCAGAGACUUCUGAAAUCUUUCAUUCAUCUAAGAGCCCAAUACUUAUAAUGCCUAGUAAGUAAUAACUAUUAGAAAUCACAAUUGCUAAUAUUUUUAAAAGAAUUUAGUACAUGCCAGUCUCUUUGUAAGCCUUUAAGUCUGGGAGAUAGGACAAUAGUUGUGCCCACUUUACAGAGAAGAAGAAACUGAGGCUCAAAAAGUUUAAAUCAUCUGCCCAAGUCACAUACGUGGUGAACUAAAGCUUGAAAUCCAGGGCUGUCUGAUUUCAAAGUCUGAGCUCAUAGCUCCCAAAUAAUUGUGGAGAUUUGCUCUAAGAAACACUUAUUUAAAUGCAUGAGGUUGAUUACUAUAAUGAGGGUGUUUCUCCCAGAAUUUUGAACAUGAAGUCAGACCCUUUCUUUCAUCACAAACUGCUCCUCAGUUUAAUCAUAGAUAUUAGAUCAAAUUAUGAAAUGGGAAGCAUUAGGGGCCAUUAUCCUUUUUUCUUUUCUUUUUCGUUGGGGGUGGGGGAGGCGGGGCAGAGUCUAGCUUUGUCACCCAGGCUGGAGUGCAGUGGCAUGAACUUGGCUCACUGCAACCUCCGCCUCCCAGGUUCAAGUGAUUCUCAUGCCUCACUGGGACUACAGGCAUGUGCAACCAUGCCUGGCUAAUUUUUUGUAUUUUUAGUAGAGAUGGGGUUUCUCCAUGUUGGCUAGGGUGGUCUCGAACUCCUUGCCUCAUGUGAUCUGCCCACCUUGGCCUCCCAAAAUGUACAGGCGAUAGCCACUGCACCUGGCCUCAUUAUCUUUUUUUCUUGACCAACACAAAACCCACUUGACACUUUGUUGAUGUGUUACAGAGCAUAUCACAGUUUAUGAAUCCACAGAAAUAAUUACCACAUUGUCAUUUGCAAUUGUUCUUAAUAGCAAAUUUAAAACAUCUCUGUGAAAAAUGCCGAAAUAGGCCUAGCGGACAUAUUCUCCACUGUGUGGGGUGAAGCCAUGAGAGCAGGGAUAUGAGUGAUAAUUAGGCAUCAAUUGCAUGGCAAAACCCAAGUAUCUGAGGUAGGGGUCUGCCCUGUAUAACUUAAAAAGAAAAUUACAAAAUAAGAGUGGUUAUGGUUUUCUUGGUUUUGUUUUUGGUGAUGAAAAUAUAAAGUGUUCUCAAAUAACCAGAAUAUCCCUUGAACACUUUCAUAGAGAGGUGGUAAAGCCACCAGCGAAAAAUUCCAAUUCAGAUGUCACACCUUAAGACAAACUCUGGAUAGUGUAGGAAUGGCUUAGGAAGUCACAGCCAGCUGAUUCCUGGGAAUGCCAUCAAGGAGACAGCAACCUGAAAGUUGAGGUGAUAUCAGCCGGGCAUGACGGCUCACACCUGUAAUCCCAACACUUAGGGAGGCAAAGGCAGGAAAACAGCUGGAGGCCAGGAAUUUGAGAACAGCCUGGGCAACAUAGUGAGACCCUGUUUCCACAAAAAGAAAACAAAAGAGAAAGACAAGUUUUGAGGUGAUGUCAAAGGAUGUGGCAUAUGCCUUAAACAAGUCACCAGUAUACAGUACCGUCUGCAUCCAGGGUGGGAGUGGGAGUGAUCUUUCUCACAUUUCUACUUAAUAACUCAUAUGUUUUUUUUCCUUUUUGUCCCUGCAACUCUGGGUUCGGUAGGUUUGGAAGUCCUAUUUCCCAAGGGAGAAACGCUUCCUUCAGGGAACACAGACAUUACAUUGGUUCUUGUAAUUUGGAAGCUGAGACUUUCCACUGGUCAUUUUGGACUCUUAGUACUACUGAGCCAAUGGCAGAUAAGGAGUUUAUUAUACUAUUGGCUAGGGUGAUUAAUCCUGCAUGGAAAUUAGGUUGCUGCUACCAACAGGGGCAAGAAGACCUAUGCUUAUUCCCAGUGGAUACACUAGGGUACCUCUUAGUACUCCCAUACCUAAUAACUAUCAAUGUAAAACUAUAGCAAAGCAAUAAAGACAGGACCACUUAUGGCUUGAAUCCUGUGGAAAUGAAGGUUUGGUUCAUUCCACUGAGUAAAGAAUUUCCUCUGGCUAACAUGUUGGCAAAGGGUGAGGGGAACAUGGACUAGAGAGUGGAAGAAGGCAGCUAUGAGGACCAACUCAGCCUCAUGACCAUCUCACUGUGGCAGGGUCUGUAGCUACAGUAGAGAUUUUUUUUUGUUUUUUUUUGAGAUGGAGUCUUGCUCUGUCACCCAGGCUGGAGUGCAGUGGCGCAAUCUUGGCUCACUGCAACCUCCGCUUCCAGGUUCAAGCAAUUCUUCUGCCUCAGCCUCCUGAGUAGCUGGGACUACAGGUGCGCACCACUUCACCCAGCUAAUUUUUAUAUUUUUAGUAGAGACGGGGUUUCGCCAUGUUGGCCAGGCUGGUCUCGAACUCUUGACCUCAGGUGAUCCACCCACCUUGGCCUCCCAAAGGCUAGGAUUACAGACGUGAGCCACCACACCCAGCCACAUCUUAAUUUUUUUCUGGCAAUGAUUACUUCCUUCCAAGACAAUAGCUCCUGUCUGUGGCCCCUCUUCCAGGGCUUGGCGUGUCAUUGGGUUCAAGGAAACUGCAUUUCCUCCCCUUGCCUUUUUGAGCAAGCACAGUCGUGGUGGCUUCCUGCUAUUGCUAGCCUCUGGCUGCCUCAACCUCCCAUUUUGGUUCCCUCAACUCUACCCAUAUCUCUUGAAUAUUCCCUUCAUUAAAGUUUCUUGAAUUAUCUGAGUUUAGUUCAGUUUCUUGCUAAGACCCUGAAUGAUAGAUCGAUCAUUUAAUGGUGAAUUGCAAAAUUACUGAAAUAAACUUGAGUUUAUUAUUAAAAAUAAAUUAAUCAUGCUGGGUGUGGUGGCUCAUGCCUGUAAUCCAAGCACUUUGGGAGGCUGAUGGGGGUGGAUCACCUGAGGUCAGGAGUUUGAGAUCAGCCUGGCCAACAUGGUGAAACUUCAUCUCUACUAAAAAUACAAAAAUUAGCCGGAUGUGGUGGUGUGCACCUGUAGUCCCAGCUACUCGGGAGGCUGAGGCAGAAGAAUUGCUUGAACCUGGGAGGCAGAGGUUGCAGUGAGCUGAGAUGGCACCACUACACUCCAGCCUGGGUGACAGAGUGAGAUUCCAUCUCAAAAAAAUAAAAUAAAAUAAUAAAGUCAUAAAACAUAUUAAGAAGGAUUGAGGGAGGCUGAGGUGGGAGGAUUGAUUGAGCCCAGGAGGUGGAGGCUGCUGAGCCAUGAUUGUGCCACUGUACUGGAGCCUGGGCAACAGCAUGAGACCCUGUGAACUUUGGGAGAUUGAGAUGGGAGGAUCACUUGAGGCCAGGAGGAUCACUUGAAGCCCGGCAUGGUGGCAUGCCUCUGUAGUCCUGAGGCAAGAGUUCAAGGUUGCAGUGAGCUAUGAUCAUGCCACUGGGUGACAGAGCGAGACCCUGUCUCUAAAAAAAUAAUUUUUUUUUUGAGACAGAGUCUCGCUCUGUUGCCCAGGCUGGAGUGCGGUGGUGCCAUCUUGGGUUACUGCAAUCUCUGCUUCCCAGGUUCAAGUGAUUCUCCUGUCUCAGCCUCCUGAGUAGCUGGGACUACAAGUGCAUGCCACCAUGCCAGGCUAAUUUUUGUACUUUUAGUAGAGACGGGGUUUCACUAUGUUGGUCAAGCUGGUCUCGAUCUCCUGACAUCGUGAUCCUCCUGCCUCGGCCUCCCAAAGUGCUAGAAUUACAGGUGUGAGCCACUGCACCCGGCCAAAAAAAGAAUUUUUUAAUGUAAAAAUAAAAUAAAAUAAAUUUAUUGAGCAGUUACUAUGUGCAAAUUAGGUAUUUGGGAUAUAAAAAUUAACGGGAGUUGCUGCCUGUCAUACAAGCCAACUGGGAUACAGAUGUGUACAUAAGCUGCACGGUAUGGUAAGUACUCUCUAACAGAGUUAUUAAGGUGCUAUGGAACAGAUUUGAAGUUUUCUCAUUUAUUUCACAUAUUGGAUUUAUUUAGUUUCCCCUGACCUCAAAAUAGCCAAUUUGGGCACAUAAAAUCUACAAUAAACAUAAUUAUUUUUAAAAGAUUAUUUUCAUAUUCUAUCUUAGUAUAUUAAUUUCCAGCGUAACAGAAAAAAGAUUUGGAGGGAAACCCACCAAAGUGUUCCCAGUUGUUACCUUUGAGAACUGGGGAGAAGAGAAAAAGCUUUAUAAUCACUUUACAUAGUUCUACAUUAUUUUAAUUUUUUCAAUUUUUAAUUUUAAAAAAUUUGGUAAAAUCCCUAUGCAAUUAAAUAUGUAGUAUAAAUAAAAGAAAAAAGGAAAUAAUGCUUAUGGCAGACCUUGGAGGAGAGAAUAUUGAUUUGGGCCUUAAAGAAUGAGUAGGAGGGGCUGGAUGCAGUGGCUCAUGCCUGUAAUCCCAACACUUUGGGAGGCCAAGGCUGGCGGAUCACGAGGUCAGGAGAUCGAGACCAACCUGGCUAACACAGUGAAAUCCCAUCUCUACUAGAAAAUAUAAAAAAUUAGCCAGGCGUGGUGGCGGGCACCUGUAGUCCCAGCUACUCGGGAGGCUGAGGCAGGAGAAUGGCGUGAACCCGGGAGGUGGAGCUUGCAGUGAGCCAAGAUCUUGCCACUGCACUCCAAACUCCAACCUGGGCCACAGAGUGACUUGGUCUCAAAAAAAAAAAAAAAAAAAAAAAGAAUGAGUAGGAGGGCCAGGUGUGGUGACUCAUGCCUGUAAUCCCAACACUGUGGGAGGCCGAGGCAAGUGGAUCAUCUGAGGUCAGGAGUUCAAGACCACUCUGGCUAACAUGGUGAAUCUCUACUAAAUAUACAAAAUUAGCUGGGUGUGGUGGCGGGUGCCUGUAAUCCCAGCUACUCGGGAGGCUGAGGCAGGAGAAUCCCUUGAACCCAGGAGGCAGAGGUUGCAGUGAGCUGAGAUCGUGCCACUGCACUCCAGCCUAGGGGAGACUGUCUAAAAAAAAAAAAAAAAGAAUGAGUAGGAGAAAUUGCUGGGCGCUGUAGCUCAUGCCUGUAAUCCCAGCACUUUGGGAGGCUAAGGCGGGCUGAUUGCUUGAGCCCAAGAGUUCUGAGACCAGCCUGGCCAACAGGGCGAAACCCCAUCUCUACAAAAAAUACAAAAAUUAGCUGGGCAGGGUGGCAUGCACCUGGAGUCCCAGCUACUUGGGAAGCUGAGGCAGGAGAAUCGCUUGAGCUGGGAAGUAGAGGUUGCGGUAAGCCGAGGUCAUACCAUUGCACUCCAAGCCUGGGUGACAGGAGUGAAACCCUGUCUGAAAAAAAAAAAAAGAAUGAGUAGGAGGAAUACAUGAAUUAGAGAAAGAGGAGAGGAUAAAACAUAAUUACAGAAUAUCUUAUUCUUUUUUUAGAUUGCUGUCAUACCUCCUUCACGGCUGCCCCUGUAGUUUGUUGAUAGGAUUUUUUUAGAAAACAAAUCUGUAUUGAGUCCCUGCUCUAAGCUAGUGUAAUAGAUACCAAGGCAGUGCAGGUCAUAGUUCCUGCUCUCAAAGCAUGCACAGUCCCAAUGGGGAGUUAAGACAUCUCAGAACAGUUAGAGACAGCUCAUGGUUAAGUGCCAAUGGGUUUGGCCCAUGAAAGAGCAGAAAAAGCUGAGUACAUUGCCAAGGUUUGCUCCUGGGAGACUUGGAACAGUGGUAGCAUUUAUAAAAAUGGAAAGUUGGGAAAAGCAAGAGGUUUGGGAAGCAGAUAUACCUAUAGUGAAAUGUCACAGUCUAUAUAAAUUACUAUUUGGCUAUGCAAAUGAGCAAGGCUGCAAAAAUAAUGUUUAGACUGCAGGGUGCCAGGAACUGUAAUAAUUCCUACCUUUCUAGGUUGUAUGCAAAGCAUUGUGCCAUGUCGUUUGC
rnacentral:lncRNA from 1 species